rfam:Nicotiana attenuata strain TT chromosome 11, whole genome shotgun sequence.
GGGCUUGGAGCUCAGAGGAUUAGAGUAGGUGGCUAAGAACCACGUUGUUAAAGGUUUGAAUCCUUCCUCGCCCG